AGAUUAUACUACAAUACAAACAAAAUGAAAACAAACAGUGAGAAACUUUAAACAGAAAUGAGUGAAAUGUGCAUCCAGGCCGAGCCCCUCCCCCGGCAUAUUACUUCCAGUGAAGAAUUGUACAUAAAACCAAGUCUCCAGAAUGAACUUGUGACUAUAUCCCGCCUAUUUUGUAUCAACAAUCAACUCAACACCAGACCAACAAAAGCUGGUAAUGAAAUCAACUGCCGGCUCUUCAGGCUUCCAAUCUGAAAAUAGCCAUUUCGGAGUCCCUGAUCUGCGCCGAUAACAACGAGUCAACAGCGCCCUCUAUAAUCAAGCCAACGUCAUCAAAUCAACAAUAUUUCCGCUGCCGCGCCUCGUUGUCGAGCCAAGAACGCCUCUUCCCUCGUGUCAACAACAUCUCUCCUGCAUCGAUAACAACUACAAACCUACAACGUCUCUGCAGCCGCUCCACGUCGUCAUGCCAAUAGUACCUCUCCUCCUGUGUAAACAUCAUCGAACCAACAACGCGUCUGGUGCCACGCCACACUGCCGUGCCAAUAACGCCCUCUAUUGUACAAACGAAAGUCAAAUGUGUAGUCCCAUAUCAUGAAGUGUAUACAAUGGUCCUGCAUUAAUCAAUACAAAGAACAGCUGCAGCAGAAUGUCAGAAGCAUAAACUAGAAGAGAUGUACCUAAUUUGAAUGAAAACAAAUACCUACAAUAGGACAUGUAUGUAGGCUGCGCUUGCUCUAUCAAGCUAACCUGAGAGCUGUAACUGUAGACACUUAACGCGCUAAAUGUUCUCUCAACAAAUCCAUCAUAGCUUAUUACGUUUUGUCUAUAAAACAUAGAAACUUACUAGGGUCCUAGUACGACAUAAAUUCACAUUCACGUCAUUGAAUUGAGGUAUGUAUGCUAACUGAUACCUAACAACGACGGGAUGGUGAGCCUACAAGAGCAAAAAGCAAAUAAUACUAUAGUUUAUUAUUGCUAUAAUCCACUGAACACAGACCGCAGUGUCACACGCCCACUGAAAACGACUUGAUAUGGAAAACCAUGAAAAAUACGGCUACAAUGGCUUGAGGUCAGAAAUAUCAUAGAACAUAGUUUACAGCAAGACGCAAACCAACGAUAAGCCACUAUAACGACCCAGAGCCCUACCAUGAUGUAACCCAAAAGGUAUUGAUAAUUUUGUUUAUAUAAAUAUAAGUUAU